AUAGAAAACUGCCGAAGACAGCAGGUGCCGCAAGGCAUAAGGAUGAAAACGCCUGCCGAGGAGAGUUGAUUGUAUGAUUGACUUUAAUCCUCUCUGGUAUCAGGGAGGUUUUUUU
rnacentral:sRNA from 1 species